GAUGAACGCUGGCGGCGUGCUUAACACAUGCAAGUCGAACGAAGCACUUUAUUUGAUUUCCUUCGGGACUGAUUAUUUUGUGACUGAGUGGCGGACGGGUGAGUAACGCGUGGGUAACCUGCCUUGUACGGGGGGAUAACAGUUGGAAACGGCUGCUAAUACCGCAUAAGCGCACAGCAUCGCAUGAUGCAGUGUGAAAAACUCCGGUGGUAUAAGAUGGACCCGCGUUGGAUUAGCUAGUUGGUGAGGUAACGGCCCACCAAGGCGACGAUCCAUAGCCGACCUGAUAGGGUGACCGGCCACAUUGGGACUGAGACACGGCCCAAACUCCUACGGGAGGCAGCAGUGGGGAAUAUUGCACAAUGGGCGAAAGCCUGAUGCAGCGACGCCGCGUGAGCGAAGAAGUAUUUCGGUAUGUAAAGCUCUAUCAGCAGGGAAGAUAAUGACGUUACCUGACUAAGAAGCACCGGCUAAAUACGUG
rnacentral:rRNA from 1 species